rnacentral:tRNA from 3 species
GUGCGACUGGAGGACCUGAGCCUGCCGAUCUUCUGCGUCGGCACCGAGACGGACCAUGUGGCGCCGUGGCGUUCGGUCUACAAGCUGCACG